rfam:Aurantimonas sp. TSBA 369 genome assembly, contig: Ga0111599_103
UCCCGGUCUCCAAAGCCGGGAAUACUGAAGAGGCACACCCUCAUUGCCUUAAGUGCGGCGGGUCCAAGCCCUCCAAGCCAAGGCAGACAUAACGGCGGACGACGCUAUGGCAGCGUUUGAUUCGUCGCUCGAGUCGCGUUUCGC